rnacentral:rRNA from 1 species
AUAGAUACCCGGGUAGUCCACGCCGUAAACGAUGUCGACUUGGAGGUUGUUCCCUUGAGGAGUGGCUUCCGGAGCUAACGCGUUAAGUCGACCGCCUGGGGAGUACGGCCGCAAGGUUAAAACUCAAAUGAAUUGACGGGGGCCCGCACAAGCGGUGGAGCAUGUGGUUUAAUUCGAUGCAACGCGAAGAACCUUACCUACUCUUGACAUCCAGAGAACUUAGCAGAGAUGCUUUGGUGCCUUCGGGAACUCUGAGACAGGUGCUGCAUGGCUGUCGUCAGCUCGUGUUGUGAAAUGUUGGGUUAAGUCCCGCAACGAGCGCAACCCUUAUCCUUUGUUGCCAGCGGUUCGGCCGGGAACUCAAAGGAGACUGCCAGUGAUAAACUGGAGGAAGUGGGAUGACGUCAAGUCAUCAUGGCCCUUACGAGUAGGGCUACACACGUGCUACAAUGGCGUAUACAAAGAGAAGCGACCUCGCGAGAGCAAGCGGACCUCAUAAAGUACGUCGUAGUCCGGAUUGGAGU